rnacentral:rRNA from 1 species
UGGACAGUACUGACGCUGAGAUGCGAAAGCGUGGGGGGCAAACAGGAUUAGAUACCUGGUAGUCACGCUGUAAACGAUGUCGAUUUGGAGUUUGUUGCCUAGAGUGAUGGGCUCCGAAGCUAACGCGAUAAAUCGACCGCUGGGGAGUACGGCCGCAAGGUUAAAACUCAAAUGAAUUGACGGGGGCCCGCACAAGCGGUGGAGCAUGUGGUUUAAUUCGAUGCAACGCGAAGAACCUUACCUGGUCUUGACAUCCAUAGAAUUCUGCAGAGAUGUGGGAGUGCCUUCGGGAACUAUGAGACAGGUGCUGCAUGGCUGUCGUCAGCUCGUGUUGUGAAAUGUUGGGUUAAGUCCCGUAACGAGCGCAACCCUUAUUCUUUGUUGCCAGCGAUUUGGUCGGGAACUCAAAGGAGACUGCCGUUGAUAAAGCGGAGGAAGGUGGGGACGACGUCAAGUCAUCAUGGCCCUUACGACCAGGGCUACACACGUGCUACAAUGGCGUAUACAAAGGGAAGCGAAGGUGCGAGCUGGAGCGGAUCUCAUAAAGUACGUCUAAGUUCGGAUUGGAGUCUGCAACUCGACUCCAUGAAGUCGGAAUCGCUAGUAAUCGUAGAUCAGAAUGCUACGGUGAAUACGUUCCCGGGCCUUGUACACACCGCCCGUCACACCAUGGGAGUGGGUUGCACCAGAAGUAGAUAGCUUAACCGCGAGGGGGGCGUUUACCACGGUGUGAUUCAUGACUGGGGUGAAGUCGUAACAAGGUAACCA